AGGGCUUAGCUCACUUGUGAACAGCGUUUGGUUCAGCCGUGUUCACAGUGGCUAAGUUCCGC
rnacentral:pre_miRNA from 1 species